CUGCCCGCAUCUUAGAAUGCAGUCGAACGAAGAGCUUGUAGCAAUACGGGCUCUGAGUGGCGAAUGGGUGCGUAACACGUAGGUGACCUGCCCAGAAGUGGGGAAUAACAGGCCGAAAGGCUUGCUAAUACCGCAUGCGGCCUGGGGGUUUAGAAGACCCGGGCGAAAGGUCGCGAGAUCGCUUCUGGAGGGGCCUGCGGCCCAUCAGCUAGUUGGUAGGGUAAUGGCCUACCAAGGCGACGACGGGUAGGGGACCUGAGAGGGUGGCCCCCCACAUUGGCACUGACACACGGGCCAAACUCCUACGGGAAGCAGCAGUCGGGAAUAUUGCCCAAUGGACGAAAGUCUGAGGCAGCAACGCCGCGUGCGCGAUGAAGGCCUUCGGGUCGUAAAGCGCUUUUCGGGAGGAUGAGGAAGGACAGUACUCCCGGAAUAAGUCACGGCUAACUACGUGCCAGCAGCCGCGGUAAAACGUAGGUGGCGAGCGUUAUCCGGAUUCACUGGGCGUAAAGCGUGUUCAGGCGGCUUGACAAGUCGGGCAUGAAAUCUCUCGGCUCAACCGGGAGGGGCUGUCCGAAACUGUUAGGCUUGAGGGCAGUAGAGGCAGGUGGAAUUCCCGGUGUAGUGGUGAAAUGCGUAGAGAUCGGGAGGAACACCAGUGGCGAAAGCGGCCUGCUGGGCUGCCCCUGACGCUGAAACACGAAAGCUAGGGGAGCGAACGGGAUUAGAAACCCCGGUAGUCCUAGCCAUAAACGUUGUCGACUGGGUGUCGGCGGACUAAACCCCGUCGGUGCCGGAGCUAACGCGUUAAGUCGACCGCCUGGGGACUACGGCCGCAAGGUUAAAACUCAAAGGAAUUGACGG
rnacentral:rRNA from 1 species